AUUUUGCAUUUGGAAGUUACUAUGACAGGAAUAGUGCAGCAUGUGGGGAGUCAGUCUCUAGGCAGCAAGUUGGGUUCAGCCACUGUGGAUUUCUCUGGUCUUAGGGAGGACAGCUGGAUUUCCCAUUACUAGUGAUUUGAGAGCAGCCAGGGAUGAGCCUAGGCCUUGUGAGAACUCUGUUCUCUCCCUGGAAUGGAUGAAGGCAUCAUAGGGAACAUCAGAAGAGGAUGACCAUGGCCAGAGUUGGUUCAGGAAGUAGGCUUCCCGAUUAUUCUACAAACGCUAUGAAAUCCUUGUUCUUCGUUGCACAAUUAGCUGUGAAACAGACAGAGGUUACCUACAAUAAGUGCCUGGCACACAGGAGUGCACUCUAAAUAUUCAUUGAAUGUUUGAAGAAUGCUCCAUCCCAACCAAAGGUAGAAUAAACUAGUUACUUAUCUAUUUGUUUUGAGACAGGGUCUUGCUCUGUCAUACAGGGUGGAGUGCAGUGGUGUGAUCACAGCUGACUGCAGCCUCAACCUCCAGGCUCAAGUGAUCCUCCUUCCUCAGCUUCCUGAGUAGCUGGCACUACAGCCAUGCACCACCACAUUUAGCUAAUUUUUUAUUUUUUUAUUUUUUGUAGAUACGGGGUCUCAACAUGUUGCCCAGGCUAGUCUCAAACUCCUGAGCUCAAGGGAUACUC
rnacentral:lncRNA from 1 species